rnacentral:rRNA from 1 species
AGGGUUUGAUUAUGGCUCAGGACGAACGCUGGCGGCGUGCUUCAUACAUGCAAGUCGAACGAGAAUCUGACUUCGGUCAGAGGAAAGUGGCGGACGGGUGAGUAAAAUGUAGAGAAUCUGCCUUUGAGUGGGGGACAACAGUUGGAAACGAUUGCUAAUACCCCAUAUGAGUAUAGUUGAAAUAUUAUACUUGAAAACUCCGGUGCUCAAAGAUGAGUCUGCAUCUGAUUAGCUAGUUGGGGGUGUAAUGGACCACCAAGGCGACGAUCAGUAGCUGGUUUGAGAGGAUGAUCAGCCACAAUGGGACUGAGACACGGCCCAU